rnacentral:rRNA from 1 species
AGGAUUGACAGAUUGAUAGCUCUUUCUUGAUUUGGUGGGUGGUGGUGCAUGGCCGUUCUUAGUUGGUGGAGUGAUUUGUCUGGUUAAUUCCGAUAACGAACGAGACUCUGUCCUGUUAAAUAGAUCCAACCUUGUUAUAGGGUUGGAAUGUCUUCUUAGAGGGACUGGUGAUUAUUAGUCACACGAGAUUGAGCAAUAACAGGUCUGUGAUGCCCUUAGAUGUUCUGGGCCGCACACGCGCUACACUGAAAUGAUCAGCUAGUUUUCCUCUCCGAGAGGAGCGGGUAAACU